UGUACAGCACAUAGAAUGUGGUGCAGAGUGAUAGCAUUACUUUUUUGAACUAUUUUUCUUUAGUAUAUACACCACUGGUAAAGAAUUGGGGAAGAACCCCAACCUUAAACGAUACACUGUUCGGGGGGUAUUGGUUCACAAAUCAACUAGCAAAUGGUUGUAAGGCUCUCAUGUGGCAUCCUCAAAAAUGAGUUUUUGGGUACAUUUGUCUCGCUAAUGUUAGAAUUUGCAAUUUUUCAUGAGGAUUAUUAAAAAGAACCAUGUACUCGGUAUUUAAAUUUAUGGUCAUGCUCUUUUUACCCUGACAAAAUAUGUUUAGCACUAAAUACAAUAUAUAAAAAUUUCUGUGAUGAACAUACUUGGUAAAUGCUUUUUCUAUUUCGUUUCUAUUUUCGCUAGCACUCACCAUGAGGUCAUCAACAAUUGACAAAUUUACCUUGUCUGGUGGAAGCAGAUCAUCAUCUAUAAAUGUAGGACCGGGAAAAAUAAAUCUCUUGGGGGACACACCUUAACCCGGGCAAUUCCAAGGUGGAACAACUGUGUUAAAAACAACCCGGAAAUUCAAAGGCCAUGUCUUGUCUGUCAACCUGUGCAUAACCGUCUAAAAAAUAUUGGCCAACUUGUUUUCACCGCCUCUGGAUGAAAAGCUUCUCUG